rnacentral:rRNA from 1 species
AGCCUACGGGACUCAUCAUUCUGGCCUUUUCUUCACUGGGCGCAAUCCUUCACGAGCAAUGCCGCGUGAACGAGGAAGGUCUUCGGAUCGUAAAGUUCUGUUGAAGGGGAAAAAGAGCGGAGAGAGGAAAUGGUCUCCGAUUGAUAUUACCCUUCGAGGAAGUCACGGCUAACUACGUGCCAGCAGCCGCGGUAAUACGUAGGUGGCGAGCGUUAUCCGGAGUGAUUGGGCGUAAAGGGUGCGUAGGCGGCCUGCUAAGUCUGGAGUGAAAGGUACCGGCUCAACCGGUACAGGCUCUGGAAACU